rnacentral:rRNA from 1 species
AUGGUCCUGACCAUGGCGGCUAUCACUCUCCUGCCGCUGCUGAUGACGCUUCUGGCCGCACCAGCCACGGCGGAGCUGCGGCCUGAUCGACUUCUCCUACCCGUUCGGCGUAGGCCCCGGGUGCUCGCUGCCGGGGUUCAACCUCACCUGCGACGCCAACACGUACAGUAAGCGCCUCCUGCUCGGCAGCCCCAGCGUCACGGUGGACUACACGAUCUUGGCGAGCGGCUUCAUUUCCUCGCUCGCCGUCAACAUCGUGCGCACGGUGCGCAUGAGACCCGCGCCGGCGCCGGGACGGUCUCCGCCUCGGCCUCGUGGGACGGCCCCGGCAGGCCGUUCGCCAUCUCCGGCGCGUCCAACAUGCGUCGCUGUUCGUCCUCGGCUGCGGCGUCACGGCCACGCUGCUCGACCGUGGAGCCGCGGUGGGGAACUGCUCCGUGGCCUGCGCCGGGGAGGAGGUCAUGCGGAGGCUGCCGAACGGGCUCUGCGUCGGCGUGGGCUGCUGCCGCAUCGACGUAGGCGUGCACCUCCGGGCGUUCACCCUCAACUUGUCGCGCACCGGCGACGGUGUCAGCCGGGACAAACUGACCUUCUUCGUCACCGGCCAGGACAGGUACACGUUCCGACCCAGCGAUCUGGACCGUGACAUUCACCUCGACAUGGUUCCUCCGGCUCGGCUGGACUGGGCCAUCCCCAGCCAGCCGGACUGCCGGCACGCCAUGGACGACAGGGUGACAUAUGCCUGUGUCAGUAACCAGAGCGAGUGCCGGGACUCGCCGAUCGGAGGCUACGCCUGCCACUGCUCCAGGGGCUUCUCCGGCAACCCCUAUGCCGUCGAUGGCUGCGUGCCGGACCAAGAUAUCAACGAGUGCUUGCAGCCAGAUAAAUACACUUGCAAUGGAAUCUGUCAGAAUAGCCUCGGAAGUUUUACUUGCUUUAGUUGCCCGCGCGGGACAGAUUUUGACAUAAUUGCAAGGAAGUGCAAAACAUCAAAUGUUAUCUUAGGUGUUACCAUUGGACUGAGCUCUGGCGCGAGGAUUCUGUUUCUUGCCGUGAUUACGAUCAUUAUCAUCCAUAGAUGGAAGAAAGGCGUCCAGAAACAGCUCAAGAAGAGGUACUUUCGCAAGAACAAGGGCAUCCUCCUUGAACAGCUCGUCUCCUCUGACCCAAGUGCCAGUGACAGCACCAAGAUAUUCUCCCUGGAAGAGCUAGAGAAGGCGACCAACAACUUUGACCACUCGCGCGUGGUCGGCCGUGGCGGCCACGGGACGGUCUACAAGGGCAUCCUGAUGGACCAGCGCGUUGUCGCCAUCAAGAGGGCAAAGCUGGUGGCGAGCGCCGAGAUCGACCAGUUCAUCAACGAGGUUGCCAUCCUGUCGCAGAUCAACCAUCGGAACGUCGUGAAGCUCCAUGGAUGCUGCCUGGAGUCCGAGGUCCCUCUGCUCGUCUACGAGUUCAUCUCCAGCGGCACGCUCUACGACCUCUUGAACGGGGCGCAAGAUGGUAGGCUUUUGCCGAUGCCUUGGGAGGAGCGCCUAAGGAUCGCCACCGAGAUCGCGGGCGCGCUCACGUACCUGCACUCGGCAGCUUCAAUGUCGAUACUUCAUCGAGACAUCAAGUCCAUGAACGUGCUCCUGAACGACAGCCAUACGGCAAAGGUUUCAGAUUUUGGUGCGUCGAGGUCGAUACCAAUUGACCAGACACAUCUGGUCACUGCCGUGCAGGGCACCUUUGGCUACUUGGAUCCGGAGUACUACCACACGGGCCGAUUAACCGAGAAGAGCGAUGUUUACAGUUUCGGAGUGAUUCUUGUCGAGCUGCUGAUGAGGAAGAAGCCGCUCAUCGAGAACGAGAAUGGCGAGAAGCAGAACCUGUCCAACUACUUCCUGUGGGCUAUGGGGGAGAGGCCUCUAGAGGAGAUAGUGGAUAAGCAGGUUCUGCAGGAACAAGAUAUGGAGGCGAUCAAGCACGUGGCUUUCUUGGCGCGAGAGUGCUUGAACCUGAGAGGGCAAAAGAGACCUAGCAUGAAGGACGUGGAGAUGAGGUUACAAUUCCUGAGGGCACGGAAGGUUGCUCCAGGAAAGGAUGAAGUGGUUCGAUCUCACCGUGAUGUAGGAGGAGGAGAUUGGCAUGGAGGCGUUGUUCCGGCGGCUGGUCACGAUGGCACACGCCAGUACAGUCUAGAGCAAGAGUACGCGUCAUCCUUGCGCAUACCACGAUAA